rnacentral:snRNA from 1 species
GUACUUACCUGGCUGGGGUGGUUUUCCCAGGGCGAGGCUCAUCCACUGUGCUCCAGAUGUGCUGACCCCUGUGAUUUCAACAAAUGUGGGAAACUCAACUGCAUAAUUUGUGGUAGUGGGAGACUGUGUUCACACUCUUCCC